rnacentral:rRNA from 1 species
GAUGCGACGCGAAGAACCUUACCUGGGCUUGACAUGCAGGGCAAAGCCGGUGAAAGCCGGCGCUCUACGGAGCCUGCACAGGUGGUGCAUGGCUGUCGUCAGCUCGUGCCGUGAGGUGUUGCCUUAAGUGGCGCAACGAGCGCAACCCUUGUCCUUAGUUGCCAGCGGGUCAAGCCGGGAACUCUAGGGAGACUGCCGGUGCCAAACCGGAGGAAGGUGGGGAUGACGUCAAGUCAUCAUGCCCCUCAUGUCCAGGGCUGCACGCAUGCUACAAUGCGCGGUACAAAGGGCUGCUAUCCCGUAAGGGGGAGCGAAUCCCAAAAAGCCGCGCUCAGUUCGGAUCGGG